UGCGGCGGACGGGUGAGUAACACGUGGGUAACCUACCUAUAAGACUGGAAUAACUUCGGGAAACCGGAGCUAAUGCCGGAUAACAUUUGGAACCGCAUGGUUCUAAAGUAAAAGAUGGUUUUGCUAUCACUUAUAGAUGGACCCGCGCCGUAUUAGCUAGUUGGUAAGGUAACGGCUUACCAAGGCAACGAUACGUAGCCGACCUGAGAGGGUGAUCGGCCACACUGGAACUGAGACACGGUCCAGACUCCUACGGGAGGCAGCAGUAGGGAAUCUUCCGCAAUGGACGAAAGUCUGACGGAGCAACGCCGCGUGAGUGAUGAAGGUUUUCGGAUCGUAAAACUCUGUUAUUAGGGAAGAACAAAUGUGUAAGUAACUGUGCACAUCUUGACGGUACCUAAUCAGAAAGCCACGGCUAACUACGUGCCAGCAGCCGCGGUAAUACGUAGGUGGCAAGCGUUAUCCGGAAUUAUUGGGCGUAAAGCGCGCGUAGGCGGUUUCUUAAGUCUGAUGUGAAAGCCCACGGCUCAACCGUGGAGGGUCAUUGGAAACUGGGAAACUUGAGUACAGAAGAGGAAAGUGGAAUUCCAUGUGUAGCGGUGAAAUGCGCAGAGAUAUGGAGGAACACCAGUGGCGAAGGCGACUUUCUGGUCUGUAACUGACGCUGAUGUGCGAAAGCGUGGGGAUCAAACAGGAUUAGAUCCCUGGUAGUCCACGCCGUAUAACGAUGAGUGCUAAGUGUUAGGGGGUUUCCGCCCCUUAGUGCUGC
rnacentral:rRNA from 1 species